AUGGUGGUGGACGCGCUUGCCGCCAUCCUAGAUAAGGCCAAAGCCGCGGGCCAUAUUCGUGGGAUCACCCCUCAUCUGGCUGGCGGCUCCGGGAUCUCCAUGCUCCAAUACGCCGACGAUACCAUCAUCAUGGUCGAAGGCUCGGACACGGACAUUGCUAACCUCAAGUUCCUCCUUCUAUGCUUCCAACAAAUGUCUGGCCUCAAGAUCAACUUCGACAAGAGUGAUGUGAUGUUAAUGGGCUAUUCUCCGGCAGAAGCCCUCGACAUCGCCAACCACCUCAACUGCCGCCUCGGCUCCUUCCCCACGACGUACUUGGGAACCCCCAUCAGUGACUCUCGGCUCACCGUCGCGGACUUGCGCCCCAUGGUAACCAAGUUGCAAACGCGCAUGGAGCCUUGGCAGGGUAGGUGGCUGUCAAAGGCGGCUCGGACGAUCCUCAUUAACUCCUCCCUCACUGGCCUCCUCCUGUUCCUUAUGAGCUUCUAUAGCCUCCAUGAGACCCUUCACCAUGAGAUCGCCAAAAUCCAAUCUCGCUUCUAUUGGGCUGGCGACAACAAUAAG
rnacentral:rRNA from 1 species